UACGGAGGGGGCUAGCGUUGUUCGGAAUUACUGGGCGUAAAGCGCACGUAGGCGGCUUUGCAAGUUAGAGGUGAAAGCCCGGGGCUCAACUCCGGAAUUGCCUUUAAAACUGCAUCGCUAGAAUUGUGGAGAGGUAAGUGGAAUUCCUGGUGUAGCGGUGAAAUGCGCAGAUAUCAGGAGGAACACCUAUUGCGAAGGCAGCUCGCUGGGACGUAACUGACGCUGAGACGCGAAAGCGUGGGGAGCAAACAGG
rnacentral:rRNA from 1 species